CGGGUAUGUCUUAAUUCAGUUAUUAAAAUUGGAGUUAUAUGCUCAGCUGAAUCACCAUGGGAUCGAAUGAACAUGAAUGAUGUAGUCAAAGAGAUGCAUUUGAUUAGGGACAUUUAUCUUGGAAUAAUUGAUUUUCAAUA